CCUGGCUUCAGGCCAGACCUCGUGAGUCUCUUCCAAAGCACAAGGAUGGUGCCCGCCCCCCCUGGCUUGGGGCCGAGAUGACAGGGCAGCCUGCGGGGGAAGGGGGAAGUGGGGCGAGCCAGCCCGGAGGACGGGAAGUGGGGGGUACAGGCGCGGAGAGCGAAAGCUGGGAUUUGCCGCAUCGUCAUCCAACACCAGCUGGCGCCCGGCGCUUGGGUGCAAGUGAUCCCCAAGGGGCCUUCAGGGGCAGGUGCUCUCCAGCCACAUUCGGGGGCGAGCAGGCCAGGCCGCGGGGCGCCCGGCUGGGUGUUUGGUGGCACAGCCCCCUGCGGCCCGUUUCACUCUGAUGUCACCCAAGUCCUUCCCCAACCACGAGACGAGGCCCCUCUGGGGCCCCACCCCGAGGUACUACGCACCGUUCCCUUCGAGACCGGGGACCGGAGACUUGGGGGUGGCCGGCCCUCGCUCGCGCUGCCCUUGGACCAGCGCCUCCCGUCCCCAUGGCCCUGGGUUUCCAGGAUCUGCCUCACCAGGGCCACUGACACCCGCUCCCCCAGAGCAGCCCCAGAGGUGGGGACCCCUUCCUGCCGGGCUUCUCCUGGAUGGAACCCGUUGCUCUCCCAGGAGGCGCCCCCAGAGCUGCGGGGUUGGAAGUCCUUUCCCUGCCACGCGCUUCCUCUCUUCCCCAUCUCUUACCCGGGCCACCGUCACCUCUCAUGUUAUCGUCAUCACUGUUUUAUAAAAUGAGAUAUGAUGUACGGACAGCAACGUGCACACAUUUUAAAAAGCUCGGUGGACUUCCGUUUGUUUUGAGUAUUUGCAUACGCCCGUGUGACCACCCAACCAGACCAGGACCCGGGACGCAUCCAGCCCCGAGAAGCCUCCCUCGUGCCCUCUCUCAGCCAAACCCCAUUCUGGAUUGUGUCCCCGUAGGCCAGUUACGUCUUGAUAGCUAGUCACUGAACUUGGCGUAAGUGGAAUCACACAGAGCGCUUUCCCAUCCGGCCUCUUGCUGCCCAGCACCACGUGUGAGGUUCGUCCGUGCUAGCCUCUGAGCUCACAGCUGGCUCCUUCUCGUGGUUGAGCAGUUUUCCUUCCACGGCUGGAGCACAUACGGCUGUUUCUCCAUUUCCUGGGGAGGAGGGUUUGGCUGCUUCCUGCUUUUGGCUAGGACCAUUCCCUGGUAAGUGUUUUGGGUCGACAUUCGCUUUCAUCUCGCUUGGUUAAACACAGGAUUGUAGGGUCACGGGGAAGGCGGGCGUUGGCGUUUACUGGGGUUCCAAGCGGUGCCCCUUCCACCUCUGGACUUCUGCAGCAGCCUCCCCUCUCCCCGCCGCCAAGAGAACUUUCUAGAUGCAAAUCUGGCCUUGCCACUCUCGCUUGAAAGGCUUUCAUGGCUGCCCCCGCCUUGAGGGGGGAAGUCCCUGCUCGUCUCCCCAGCUGUGCCUCUGGCUCUGUCCCCCGUUGAGCCUUACGUCCUUGCCACUUUAAAAGCACACAGUCUGGGAAACAGACUUGGCCCAGUGGAUAGGGCACCCGCCUACCACACGGUAGGUCCGCGGUUCAAACCCCGGGCCUCCUUGACCCGUGUGGAGCUGGCCAUGCGCAGUGCUGAUGCGCGCAAGGAGUGCCUUGCCACGCAAGGGUGACCCCCGCGUGGGGGAGCCCCACGCGCAAGGAGUGCGCCCGUGAGGAGAGCCGCCCAGUGUGAAAAGAAAGAGCAGCCUGCCCAGGAAUGGCGCCGCAUACAUGGAGAGCUGACACAGCAAGAUGAUGCAACAAAGAGAAACACAGAUUCCCGUGCCGCUGACAACAGAAGUGGACAAAGAAACAAGACCCAGCAAAUAGACACAGAGAACAGACAACUCGGGGGGAUGGGGGAGAAAUAAAUAAAUAAAUCUUAAAAAAAAAAAAAGCAAACAGUCCCCUGAACUUAUGUCAUUCCUGUCCCGAAGGAACUGUCUCUUCCGCCUGGAGCGCUCACCCCUCCCUCGCCCGCCCGGCAGGGGCCUCCUCGCUUCCUAAGAUCUCACCCGAGCAUUUCCCAAGCCCCGAGGCAGCCGCCUUCCUUAGCUCUCCUCUGAGCGGGUGGGUGUGUGCCGCCCGCGGAGAUGCCCGCAGUGCCUGAGGGGGGGCUGUGACUUCUCUGCCCGGCGGGUGGCCUGGUCAGGGUGGAGCGCGUCCCCCUGGGGCGGGGGGCCGAGCGUGGGUGGGCACCCCGGGGGGCCGGCCUGACCCCUGCCUGGAGAGGCAGGCCCUUGGGUCCCAAUUCUUCUGCCUCAGCACCAGUCUCUCUCAGCUGGGGCUGGCUCGUGCCAGGUCGUCACCUCCU
ensembl:lincRNA